rnacentral:rRNA from 1 species
UAGGGAAUCUUCCACAAUGGACGCAAGUCUGAUGGAGCAACGCCGCGUGAGUGAAGAAGGGUUUCGGCUCGUAAAACUCUGUUGUUAAAGAAGAACAUAUCUGAGAGUAACUGUUCAGGUAUUGACGGUAUUUAACCAGAAAGCCACGGCUAACUACGUGCCGG